UAGAAAGAGCAAGCCUGGAAGUGUUUGAAAGAUGGCUUUUAGACCUGGGGUUUCCUUCCUGCUCUGUACACUACAUGGAACAAGUGAGGAUAGCAGCUGUAAAACUUGUUGGCAGAAAUUCUGAAGGAGACAAGAUACAAGUUAAGAGUGUCUUGGGCCAGGAGUCAAUGUAUGAAAGAAGACCAAACUCAACCCAUACAACUGCCAUUCAAGGGAAUUUUCUGCCUUUAAAAGGAGAGGUUAUCUGCUGUGAAUGCUUCAAAAUCAAAUCUGUUAUUCAGAAGAUGCCGUCCAAUGAAUAAAUUGGCCUCCUUUUCUGAUGUGAACACUGAUUUAAAAAAAAGGCGCCAUGAGGCCUCAUGGAGUACGUUGUGAGGUGAGAUUCCAGAAGAGUUAGUGAAAUUAUAGAAGGCUUUGGAAUACAGGAAUGCAUUUUCUCACCAGGCGUUUUCCAUAGUCAAGUUUUAGCUUGCUCUUGCUACAGCUUCUUUAAAAAAAAAAAAAUCUUUAUAUGACAGAACAAGUUUUCUGGCUUGGUUUUCAGUGAAAGCUUAAUCUGUACUCCCAAGAAAUUCAGACCAUUUGGUUAAGCAAAAUGAUUAGAGGAUUAUUUUUGCAAGUGUAACGCAGAAACAGUAUUGUUACAUACCAAGCCAGACAGCUAAAAAAAUGAGAUUCAGAAUGCCGUUACUCAGCUACAAAUUAGCUAUGUGUUCUUAUUAGCUCGUUUGUCGAGAUUAGCACAUCAUUCGGGAAUUUUUACCCUAAUAGUAACUGUUAGAUCUUGCAAUGGUAUGUCAAAAUUGUUUGCUCUCUUAAAACUAAGAAACUUGCAGUGUAACUUGCGUAUCAUUUGUUUACGUCUUUAAUGUUAUAGUAUUGAAGGAAUAUUACCGUAUAUAUUUACAUAAUAUUACAGUACAUAUUUGAAGGAGCCACACGUGUGCGCACACGUUGUGUAGGAAGGGAAAUCUGUUACUCUAAAGUAAUUGCAAGAAAAUCUAAGGUUAGAGUACUGUUAUAUCUAAGAGUAACCAGAGAGAAAGACUUCAUCCAAAAAGAUCCCGCAAACCCACACGUGGAAAGGGAAAAGAAUUACAUGGAAGAAAAUAUUAUCAGUAUCUUGGUUGAGUGCAAAUCACAAGAAUAAAUUCAGUCUUCUGAAACAGAGA